rnacentral:rRNA from 1 species
AGGACGAACGCUGGCGGCGUGCUUAACACAUGCAAGUCGAGCGGAAAGGCCUUUCGGGGUACUCGAGCGGCGAACGGGUGAGUAACACGUGAGUAACCUGCCCUGGACUUUGGGAUAACCCUCGGAAACGGGGGCUAAUACCGGAUAUGACUUCCCUGCGCAUGUGGGGUGGUGGAAAGUUUUUCGGUCUGGGAUGGGCUCGCGGCCUAUCAGCUUGUUGGUGGGUGAUGGCCUACCAAGGCGACGACGGGUAG